GAUGAAGAACGUAGCGAAAUGCGAUAAGUAGUGUGAAUUGCAGAAUUCAGUGAAUCAUCGAAUCUUUGAACGCACAUUGCGCCCUUUGGUAUUCCUUAGGGCAUGCCUGUUCGAGCGUCAUUUAAACCUUCAAGCUCAGCUUGGUGUUGGGUGACUGUCCGCUUCACCGCGGACUCGCCUCAAAAUUAUUGGCGGCCGGUACAUUGGCUCUCGAGCGCAGCAGAAACGCGUAACUCGAGGUCCUCGUGCUGGCUCCCAGAAGCUAUCUUCACAAUUUUGACCUCGGAUCAGGUAGGGAUACCCGCUGAACUUAAGCUUAUCAAUAAGCGGAGGA
rnacentral:misc_RNA from 1 species